AGUGAACGCUGGCGGUAGGCCUAACACAUGCAAGUCGAACGGCAGCACAGUAAGAGCUUGCUCUUACGGGUGGCGAGUGGCGGACGGGUGAGGAAUACAUCGGAAUCUACUUUUUCGUGGGGGAUAACGUAGGGAAACUUACGCUAAUACCGCAUACGACCUACGGGUGAAAGCAGGGGAUCUUCGGACCUUGCGCGAUUGAAUGAGCCGAUGUCGGAUUAGCUAGUUGGCGGGGUAAAGGCCCACCAAGGCGACGAUCCGUAGCUGGUCUGAUAGGAUGGUCCGCCACACUGAGACUGAGACACGGUCCAGAGUCCUACGGGAGGCAGAAGUGGGGACUAUUGGACAAUGGGCGCAAGCCUGCUCCAGCCAUGCCGCGUGGGUGAAGAAGGCCCGCGGGUUGUAAAGCCCUUUUGUUGGGAAAGAAAAGCAGCAGGUUAAUACCCCGCUGUUCUGACGGAACCCAAAGAAUAAGCACCGGCGAACUUCGU
rnacentral:rRNA from 1 species